rnacentral:rRNA from 1 species
AUUGAACGCUGGCGGCAUGCUUUACACAUGCAAGUCGAACGGUAACAGGCCGCAAGGUGCUGACGAGUGGCGAACGGGUGAGUAAUGCAUCGGAACGUGCCCAGUCGUGGGGGAUAACGCAGCGAAAGCUGCGCUAAUACCGCAUACGAUCUAUGGAUGAAAGCGGGGGACCGUAAGGCCUCGCGCGAUUGGAGCGGCCGAUGUCAGAUUAGGUAGUUGGUGGGGUAAAGGCUCACCAAGCCGACGAUCUGUAGCUGGUCUGAGAGGACGACCAGCCACACUGGGACUGAGACACGGCCCAGACUCCUACGGGAGGCAGCAGUGGGGAAUUUUGGACAAUGGGCGCAAGCCUGAUCCAGCAAUGCCGCGUGCAGGAAGAAGGCCUUCGGGUUGUAAACUGCUUUUGUACGGAACGAAACGGUCUGGAUUUAUACCCUGGGCUAAUGACGGUACCGUAAGAAUAAGCACCGGCUAACUACGUGCCAGCCGCCGCCGUAAAAC